GCACUGCUGAGGAGUCCCAUAAUAGGACGAAAUGGCCCUCCAGUGC
rfam:Schistosoma rodhaini strain Burundi genome assembly, scaffold: SROB_scaffold0024448